rnacentral:piRNA from 1 species
UACAGCCAAGUUUCUUGAAAACAGUGCCUA